UUCCCGGUUACCGCGUCCUUGUUCUCUUGGCUGUUUGCGUUCUCUGCUAUGGUCCACGCCCAUCCUCCGCCGUACCCGGCCUUAGUCUCGGCAGCACCGGCGCCACACUCGCCGGAGCUGAUUCCCGAGGCUGCGGGAUGUUGAGCGCAGCAAGGAGGACCCUGGCCUGCCGACCUGGUCGGAUCGAGGUCCGGCCACGUUGGCCGCAUGCGCAGUGAAAGGAGCCGGAUCCUGUGAAGGCCGCGCCCUGCUCCGGCCUCGGCCCGCAGGGCCUUGUGCUCCGGUGUGACGGUCUCCGGAGUGUCCCAAUAGAUGAAUUGGUGAUACGUCCUGAUGCACAGGAUUUAGCUCUGCCAGAUUGAAGAUUCCAGGAUGACUGAAGUUGACCUUUCUGGUGAGUGAAGACUGGGGUCAUGACAGUGAUGGAACACAGCAGCCUCAGGACCUGGUUGCCCCAAGGUUUUACUGGCAGUGCCUGAUACAAAGUAUCUGAAAAUACCAGCUUGUUGCUGGAGCCAUGCUUUAGAAUAAGAUCUGUUACCAGUAAAGCUGUCUUCUGUUGAUUGUGGAUCUACAGAGUUGGGUGAGUUGAAUGUCUGCCAGACGCUUUCUCACAACUUCCUUGCAGCUUCCAUUAGUAUUUCACUGUUAUCACCCUAAGCAGUGUAGCCAAUAGAUAAUAAGGCUACUCAGGUCUGUGUGUAAAAGUCUUUUUAAUAUGUCAUUUACAUCUGGCCUUGUGUGCUAUAUAUAUUUGUUGGCUCUUCAUAACCAGAGGACAAAAAAUGUUUACAGUAUGACUCGGUCUGCUAGAUUUGCCUAUGCUAAAUGCCAAGAACACACCUGCAGAGCAGAAUGUGGCAGAAGGGACAGCCCUGUCUUUACAGCAAGGGCUGACUACUUACUGUGAAUGCAAUAAUGGCUUGAGCUCAUGCUCAUUGGUUUUGGUAACCUUGGAGUCUUACCCACCCCUCUCCUGGGAGAGUGGUUCUAUUCUAGCUCAAGGUAUUUUUUCAGGUUGUGACUGGUCCAGGAUGAAACCUAAUCUGAGUGGACAUCUAUGGAUGAUAAAUGCGGAUAUGGGACUGAGACCAGCCCUUAGGAAAACCUGGGUGGCAUUGAUUAAUUGGGGCAUUAUUAACACACUGGCGUACACUUCUUUUUCAGGAGAGAAACACUGCAGGAAGAGGCAAAAGAAGAGACAAGGGGCUCUUUUAGGUGGAAACACCUUUUUUUUCUUUCUGGUGCUGGUACCUGGCAUACAAGUGACCAAUAAAAGAUUCCUGGA